rnacentral:rRNA from 1 species
UCAAGGAUCUGCUGAGAGGCGGGAGUGCUCGAAAGAGAACCGGCGCACAGGUGCUGCAUGGCUGUCGUCAGCUCGUGUCGUGAGAUGUUGGGUUAAGUCCCGCAACGAGCGCAACCCUUGUCCUUAGUUGCUACGCAAGAGCACUCUAAGGAGACUGCCGGUGACAAACCGGAGGAAGGUGGGGAUGACGUCAAGUCCUCAUGGCCCUUAUGGGUAGGGCUUCACACGUCAUACAAUGGUCGGAACAGAGGGUUGCCAAGCCGCGAGGUGGAGCCAAUCCCAGAAAACCGAUCGUAGUCCGGAUCGCAGUCUGCAACUCGACUGCGUGAAGCUGGAAUCGCUAGUAAUCGCGGAUCAACAUGCCGCGGUGAAUACGUUCCCGGGUCUUGACACACCCGAACGA